UACGUAGGGUGCGAGCGUUGUCCGGAAUUACUGGGCGUAAAGAGCUCGUAGGUGGUUUGUCGCGUCUGCUGUGAAAACCCGAGGCUCAACCUCGGGCCUGCAGUGGGUACGGGCAAACUAGAGUGCGGUAGGGGAGAUUGGAAUUCCUGGUGUAGCGGUGGAAUGCGCAGAUAUCAGGAGGAACACCGAUGGCGAAGGCAGAUCUCUGGGCCGUGAACUGACGCUGAGGAGCGAAAGCAUGGGGAGCGAACAGG
rnacentral:rRNA from 1 species